UGAACUUGUAGAUUUCACAUUUUUUAGAGGAAAAGAUUGAAGCAAGCUAUGUACAACUCAACAUAACUUGAAAAAAAAAACAAAAAACUUCACCAUCAAUCACAAAUUUCAAGAACCCACAAAAUCUGAAAAUCUAAUAAAAUUAGAAUUAAUUCACAAAAUAAAUAAAUACAUAACAUAUAGAUUAGAAUAUGAAAUGAAACACAUCUUUAGUCGGUAAAUAGCUUUUGAAUCAACUUUUGCCUUGUUUGAUUCUUGUUUGGUCCUAAUACAAACCAACAAUAGAUAACUUGUGAUGAAAUAAAAACGUACCAAAAAAGGGAAUUUGGAAGGAUAACGUACCUUGCUUUAAUCUAUGAGGGAGGUGAUAUAAACCCUGAGGAUCGACAACGUUAUGUGAGAGUGAAAGAGAGAUGGAACCAACAUCAACCCUUCAUUAGAAUCAAAAACCACAAGUUAAUCAAAAUCAAGAAUUGAGGGAAAAAGAAAAUCGAUAUAAAAACUAAAUCAGAGGGAACGUGUACAAACGAUACUCAGAUAGAUAACCCUUGGUGCAUACUUACCUGAAAGAUGAACCUAUAAGUCAAAAAGAAAAAUUAACAACAAAAUCCAAAAUCUUUUAAUCGAAAAAAAUAUACAAAAAAUAUGGUUUUACCCUCUGGUGGCUGAUGGCGACGAAGGUGUUGGUAUGUUACAACUACAAAAUCGAGGGUAUAAAGCGAAAAGAAGAAAAAUGGAACAACAAUAUCCAAACCUAUAAAUCUAAAAUAAAGGUGUUGAAGAUGGUCUCGAGGGUACCUGUGGUGGCUAAUGGAGAUUACGAAGGUGGUGGUAGGCGGCGACGACUGGCAUGAUGGAUUUUCUGCGAUGGUGGCGGUAAGUGGUUUGAUGGCGGUGCGUUUUCGGGUAUGUAUGUGUUUGUGUGAGAUUAAAACCCAUAAAGAGAGAGAAAAAGAUACCUUACACGUGAUUUGCCCCAGGGAUUUAACAUUAGGGACCAGUCUAAGAGAGAGAGUUCGUAUUUCUAAACUUGAAUUCAAA
rnacentral:lncRNA from 1 species